UACGGAGGGUGCAAGCGUUAUCCGGAUUUACUGGGUUUAAAGGGUGUGUAGACGGGCUUUUAAGUCAGUGGUGAAAUCUCCGGGCUCAACCCGGAAACUGCCAUUGAUACUAUUAGUCUUGAAUUUUGUUGAGGUAGGCGGAAUAAGUCAUGUAGCGGUGAAAUGCUUAGAUAUGACUUAGAACACCAAUUGCGAAGGCAGCUUGCUAAACAAACAUUGACGCUGAGGCACGAAAGCGUGGGGAUCAAACAGG
rnacentral:rRNA from 1 species